rnacentral:rRNA from 1 species
GACAGAGGGUGCAAACGUUGUUCGGAAUUACUGGGCGUAAAGCGCGUGUAGGCUGCUCGGAAAGUCGGAUGUGAAAGCCCUGGGCUUAACCCAGGAAGUGCAUUCGAAACUUCCGAGCUCGAGUCCUGGAGAGGGUGGCGGAAUUCUCGGUGUAGAGGUGAAAUUCGUAGAUAUCGAGAGGAACACCGGUGGCGAAGGCGGCUACCUGGACAGUGACUGACGCUGAGACGCGAAAGCGUGGGGAGCAAACGGG